rnacentral:rRNA from 2 species
GAAAGAUGGUUUCGGCUAUCACUUACAGAUGGGCCCGCGGUGCAUUAGCUAGUUGGUGAGGUAACGGCUCACCAAGGCAACGAUGCAUAGCCGACCUGAGAGGGUGAUCGGCCACACUGGGACUGAGACACGGCCCAGACUCCUACGGGAGGCAGCAGUAGGGAAUCUUCCGCAAUGGACGAAAGUCUGACGGAGCAACGCCGCGUGAGUGAUGAAGGCUUUCGGGUCGUAAAACUCUGUUGUUAGGGAAGAACAAGUACAAGAGUAACUGCUUGUACCUUGACGGUACCUAACCAGAAAGCCACGGCUACCUACGUGCCAGCAGCCGCGGUAAUA